rnacentral:lncRNA from 1 species
GUAUACCUGAAGAUACAGAUUUUCGCCCUCUACGUAUUGACAGUGUUCACACUCCAUGGCCAUGUGAUCUGUCCAAUACCACAGGCCAUUACACCAAAGACGGUUUGGGAUCAGUACAACACAGGUAGAGAACUGUCACCCCCGAGAGGCGUUGUACGGGGUUAUUUGCCGGAUUCGUGCCCAUUCAAGAUUUCAAGAUAGUUGUGAAACUCAUAAUGUCGUUCACAUUAUCGUAAAGAUGGCGGGGGAAUGCAUAUCAGUGUUCUGCAAUAGGCACGGUCCAUUUCUUCAAGAGCCGGCAGGUCACUUUGUGAGUUUUAACUUUCUCUUCAGUGAAUGAAUGUCUGCGCAUUGAAAGGACUUCUGCUUCCAUAGGCGUAACACGCUCAGCAGUCAUUCAAGACAUGGCUGAACUUUUGUCGUUGUUUCGGUUUUGCGUUUAGAUCAUCUGAAAGGUUUUCAGACAUGCAGUUUGUUCUCCAGUCUCGACGACUCGUCUCGAGUGUUUGCUUCGAAGUACGAAAAUCUCCCGAAUUAGUGCUCUUUGUGUGCCUCUUGCACAGUUCCACUGCCGAACUAUGUGGUCCGUGGAUACGUCUUCUGUAAAAACUGGGUUCCCUCCCUUCUCCUGCAAGUGAGAAAUUUUGGGAGCAAUCUGAAUGGUCUGAAUGUCCCGCAGCGGUCCCGAGUCCUCGCUGUAAGUAUCGGUGCAACUGUUUGCACGUUCUUGAGUCCUCAGUUAACGUUAUAGCAAUUGAGGAGCCGUUUGUUCACAGCUUGUCGCACUACAUUCAGGAGCAGAGUCGAGCAGUCUUCCUAUGGGUCAGGAGUGAAAAGCCCUCACCUAAACCCCCACUUUGACGUUUGCGUUUCCUUCAUCGGUAUGUCAUCCGG